AGGCCACUGUGUUCUUGGGGACAUUCAACGCUGCAGACAUUUUUUGGUACCCUUCCCCAGAUCUGUGCCUCGACACAAUCCUGUCUCGUAGCUUUACAGACAAUUCCUUUGACUUCAUAGCCUGGUUUUUGCUCUGACAUGCACUGUCAACUGUGGGACUUUAUAUAGACAGGAUGAUCAAUGGAUACAGGAUGCACCUGCGCUCAAUUUCGUGUCUCAUAGCAAAGGAUCUGAAUAUUUAUGAAAAUAAGGUAGGCUAGUUGAGAACAAGUUCUCAUUUACAACUGCAACCUGGCCAAGAUAAAGCAAAGCAGUGCGAUACAACCAACAACACAGAGUUACGCAUGGAGUAAACAAGCCUACAGUCAAUAACACAAUAGAAAAAAAGAAAGUCUAUAUAAAGUGUGUGCAAAUGGCGUGAGGAGGUAA
rnacentral:lncRNA from 1 species